AUGAACGCUGGCGGCGUGCCUAAUACAUGCAAGUCGAGCGAACAGACGAGGAGCUUGCUCCUCUGACGUUAGCGGCGGACGGGUGAGUAACACGUGGAUAACCUACCUAUAAGACUGGGAUAACUUCGGGAAACCGGAGCUAAUACCGGAUAAUAUAUUGAACCGCAUGGUUCAAUAGUGAAAGACGGUUUUGCUGUCACUUAUAGAUGGAUCCGCGCCGCAUUAGCUAGUUGGUAAGGUAACGGCUUACCAAGGCAACGAUGCGUAGCCGACCUGAGAGGGUGAUCGGCCACACUGGAACUGAGACACGGUCCAGACUCCUACGGGAGGCAGCAGUAGGGAAUCUUCCGCAAUGGGCGAAAGCCUGACGGAGCAACACCGCGUGAGUGAUGAAGGUCUUCGGAUCGUAAAACUCUGUUAUUAGGGAAGAACAAAUGUGUAAGUAACUAUGCACGUCUUGACGGUACCUAAUCAGAAAGCCACGGCUAACUACGUG
rnacentral:rRNA from 1 species